rnacentral:rRNA from 1 species
GACGAACCGUGCGAACGUUGUUCGGAAUCACUGGGCUUAAAGGGCGCGUAGGCGGGCCGGAUAGUCUGUGGUGAAAUCCUCCAGCUUAACUGGAGAAGUGCCAUGGAUACUGCCGGUCUCGAGGAAGGUAGGGGCAUCUGGAACGCUGGGUGGAGCGGUGAAAUGCGUUGAUAUCCAGCGGAACUCCGGUGGCGAAGGCGAGGUGCUGGACCUUUUCUGACGCUGAUGCGCGAAAGCCAGGGGAGCAAACGGG